GCUCGGGUGGAGGAAUUGGUAGACUCACCAUCUUGAGGGGGUGGCGCCGCGAGGCAUGCUGGUUCGAGUCCAGUCCCGAGCACCA
rnacentral:tRNA from 1 species